rnacentral:rRNA from 1 species
UACGUACGAGGCAAGCGUUAUCCGGAAUUCCUGGGCGUAAAGGGCGCGUAGGCGGCUCAUACAGUCAGGCGUGAAAUUCCUGGGCUCAACCUGGGGACUGCGCUUGAGACGUGUGGGCUUGAGUGGGGAAGAGGGUCGUGGAAUUCCCAGUGUAGAGGUGAAAUUCGUAGAUAUUGGGAAGAACACCGGUGGCGAAGGCGGCGACCUGGUCCUUGACUGACGCUGAGGCGCGAAAGCGUGGGGAGCAAACAGG